AUCUAUCAAAAUUUAUCACAUUUCUUUUAGAAACAUAAUAUAAAUUUUGUCACAGGGUGCAUGCACAUUGUACUAAAAAUUCUCCUCUCUGUUGUCAGGUAUUUGCUGCAAUGAAACUACACAUUUUUAAAUAUAAUUCAUUUCGCCGUCAUGCAAGACUUUGCAUUGAACCUGCUAUUGUCCACAAGUGGAGAAAUUGGCAGAGUGAAAUGCUAGAACAGCUCAGUCGAAGAGAGAAUGUGAUUGUUGGAGGAGAUAUGAGGGCUGACUCCCCAGGUCACUCGGCCAAGUAUGGGAGUUAUACAAUGAUGGACCUUGCAACUAACACAGUGGUCGACCUACAGUUAGUCCAGAGUAAUGAGGUGGGUGGCAGUUACCAUAUGGAAAAAGAAGGCCUAAAGAGAAGCCUUGACCUGUUGGAUGCCUGCGGUGUUCGUCUGGAAUGCAUCAUCACAGACCGACAUCCUCAAAUACAGAAAUAUCUCAGGGAUCGAAAUGUCACUCAGUUUUACGAUGUGUGGCAUAUCGAGAAAGGUAUGUAAUUUAGCAGUUAUUAAUUUACUUAAGAUUAAAUUGCUAUUUACAGUUCUUACAUGUUUAAUAUUAUUUUUGUGUUGAUGUCUUUUUUUCUUUAAUUUCCAGGAAUUUCUAAAAAACUGGACAAGAUAUGCCAGAUAAAGGGGUGUGAGAAGUUGCGUAAAUGGUUACAUAGCAUCAAAAACCACAUCUACUGGACUGCUGCAUCAUCCACAACAGGUCCUGAAAGAGUGGCAAAGUGGACCUCUAUCUUAAACCAUGUACAAGACAAACAUGUACAUGAAGACCCCAAUUUUCCGGCUUGUCUGCAUCCGCAACGGAUAAGCAGAGACAAGAACAAAUGGCUGUCGGCUGCAACGAUGCCAUUCUACAAGCUGGAGAAAGUUCUCGCUAACAAGAGAAUAUUGAAGGAUGUGGCCAAGCUAAGUCCUCACCACCAGACGUCAACUGUUGAAGCUUUCCACAGCGUCAUACUGCGGUUUGCACCCAAAAAAUGUGGUAUUCCCUUUUCUGGGGAUGCUAUGCAGGUUGUACUUGGCUGCACUGCAUUACAAUGAAAAUGCCGGGCGUCCCCAGGCCACAUCAGCAACUGGUAAACCUAUUUACAAGCUUGCCUUUCCAAAGGCAAAGAAAGGAGAGUAUAGGGUCCGAGAAGUGAAGACACAGCAAACUUUCGGUUAUGUAGAAGAGCUGCUGGACCUCAUCUUCAACCAAGUGUUUGUGGACCCAUCACCCUAUGUUGAUGAAGUGUUGGGAAUUCACAUACCACCUGCUCUAUCAUCAGCCUACGAUCGACCUGAGAUGGAGGAGGCUAUCUCCAGCAGGGUGACCCGCUUCAAUCAAUAGCUAUCCUAAAACCCACAUAGCUGCCCUGCUCUUCAGGAAACUGUCUUCGAAUCUUCAGCACCACACAGGCAGGAAUCACAACACGGACUCUCCGCCCGAGGAAACCCCAACACCAGCUCACAAAGCUCCGAUAAGCCAAAAAGCGGCACUGUCUAACAGAGACAUAAUAAUGAAACAUUGUUUUAGAAAUUGCACUACAAUUUGAACUUGGGAGUUAUCACAUAUACAUUUUUAUUUUUUAUAAAAUAACUAGCUUUAACAAAAUUUCAGAAGUCAUAUUUUGUUUAUUCAACUGCCAAUGUAUAUUUGAUAUGUUUGUAUGUGUUUGUAGAUAUACUGUACUUUCUAAUGUUCAUGGACAAUUGUAUUUCAUUCAACAAAGUGACAACUUGGAGUUUAUAUUUUAUAUUUGCAAAA